rnacentral:snRNA from 1 species
AUGCUUGCACCUAUACUAAAAUUGGAACGAUACAGAGAAGGUUAGCAUGGCUCCUGCACAAAGAUGUCACACAAAUUCAUGGUGUUCUAUAUUUUUUA